rnacentral:rRNA from 1 species
AUGCUCUGCCGAGCCAGGAACUGCAUCGCCGUCCCUACCGAGGCUGCCGCCGCUGCCCAUGAGCACCGCCGUUGCCACCCCACCAAAGCUCCCUCCGGUCUGCGCCACGUUGCUCCACCGGGAGUACAAAGGAGCAGCAGCCACCACGGAGGAGGCGUCUGCGCUGUUCUGGCUGCUCCAUCGAAUAAGGCCGUCGCCGGGAGCUGCUUCGCACCGUCGUCGCCACGCCGCUGCCCCUGCCAUCCUGCACAACGUCACCUGCGGGGUCGGCCAAUCUCCUCUCGGUGCUCUACAACGUCCAUGGCCGGAGCUUGCUGCUACCGCCUGGUCUCCGUGCGCGCGCCACCCGUGCCGCAUGCACCAGCACCACCGCACCUCCUUUUCAUGUGUGCGCUGCGGACAACAGGGUGCCGCCUCCCUCAACGCCUGUGGGUCACCAGUCGCCAUCACAGGAACGAGCGCCGCCCACGCGCUGGGCUCCUCUAUUACCGAUUAGCGUCGCCACCCAGUCACCCGCGUUCCCGUCCGCGGUCGUCAUCGACGGACUCACGGUCAAUGCUCUUGCACGUGGUGCUUCUGCUACUAUCCCUCUCUCCCAGUUAUGUGUACUAA